UUUGAAAUCUCCGGCGCUUGCGCCGGCGAGUUGUAGUUGCGAGAAGCACUUUCUCGGCGGAUCGGGCGUGCCUAAGUUGCUUGGAACAGUACGUCGCAGAGGGUGACAACCCCGUCUGUGGCACGGCCCGGCCGCUCACGAUGUGCUUUCGAAGAGUCGGGUUGUUCGGGAAUGCAGCCCAAAACGGGUGGUAAACUCCAUCUAAAGCUAAAUAUGGACGUGAGACCGAUAGCGAACAAGUACCGUGAGGGAAAGAUGAAAAGAACUUUGAAAAGAGAGUUAAAAAGUACGUGAAACCGUUGGAAGGGAAACGAAUGGACUCAGCAAGGCGCCGUUUUGAGAUUCAGCCGGCCGGCGGGAUCGGCCCGGGGUUUGCGGAUCCGAACGGACCGCGGUCUCGGGCUCGUUUCUCCCGGCCGUCGCACUUCUCUUGGGCGCACGUCAACGUCGGUUGGGACUGGGUCUGAAAGGUCCCGGGAAGGUAGGUCCGCGCGUUCCUCCGAGUGCGCGCGCUCUGUUACAGCCCGGUUCUCUUGCGGCUCGGGCCCGACCGAGGCGGUCGCAGCGCAUGCCUCUUCUGGCUAGGGUCCCGUCCGUCCGGCCGGUCGUCGACCGCGGUGGACUGCUUGCAGUGCUCCGCGACUGCUGCCGGUCGUUUGGGUGGUGACGUCGUACCAUG
rnacentral:rRNA from 1 species